GUACUGGAAGAGGAGAUACCAUGAUCACUAAGGUGGUUUUCCCAGGGCAAGGCUUAUCCAUUGCACCCCAGAUGUGUUGACCCCUGCAAUUUCCCCAAAUAUGGGAAACUCAACUGCAUAAGUUGUGGUAGUCGGGGACUGCGUUCAUGCUCUCUCUUG